rnacentral:rRNA from 1 species
UUAAAAUGUAAAUAUUUACCUGAGUAGUAUUAGUUAUGUUCUUGAAACUUAAAAAAUUUGGCGGUAUUUUAGUCUAUUCAGAGGAACCUGUAGCGUAAUUGAUAAUCCACGUUGAACCUAACUUAAUUUGGUAAUUUCAGUUUGUAUACCGCCGUUAUUUGAAAAUUUUUGUAGAAUAAUAAUUUUCUAUUUUUUUUAUUAAAUUUUAAAUCAGGUCAAGGUGCAGCUUAUGAUUAAGUGUCAUAUGGGUUACAAUAAAUUUAUUUAAACAGUUUAAGUAAUGAAAUUUAUUUAUUAAGGUGGAUUUGAAAGUAAAUUUUUAUAGAUUAGAAAAUUGAUU